GGGCCCGUGGCCUAGCUGGAUAAGGCGGCAAGUCUCAGAAGCUGCAGAUCCGGGGUUCGAAUCCCCGCGGGCCCG
rnacentral:tRNA from 1 species